GAUUUAUUGGAGGGGCAAGUCUGGUGCCAGCAGCCGCGGUAAUUCCAGCUCCAAAAGCGUAUAUUAAAGUUGUUGCAGUUAAAAAGCUCGUAGUUGAACCUUGGGCUUGGCUGGCCGGUCCAUCUUUUUUGAUGCGUACUGGACCCAGCCGAGCCUUUCCUUCUGGCUAGCCUUUUGGCGAACCAGGACUUUUACUUUGAAAAAAUUAGAGUGUUCAAAGCAGGCCUUUGCUCGAAUAUAUUAGCAUGGAAUAAUAGAAUAGGACGUUAUGGUUCUAUUUUGUUGGUUUCUAGGACCAUCGUAAUGAUUAAUAGGGACGGUCGGGGGUAUCAGUAUUCAGUUGUCAGAGGUGAAAUUCUUGGAUUUACUGAAGACUAACUACUGCGAAAGCAUUUACCAAGGACGUUUUCAUUAAUCAAGAACGAAAGUUAGGGGAUCGAAGAUGAUCUAGAUAACCUUCGAAUAAACCCU
rnacentral:rRNA from 1 species